UACGUAGGGGGCGAGCGUUGUCCGGAUUUAUUGGGCGUAAAGAGCUCGUAGGCGGUUUGGUAAGUCGGGUGUGAAAUCUCCACGCUCAACGUGGAGGGGCCACUCGAUACUGCCAUGACUCGAGUCCGGUAGAGGAGUGUGGAAUUCCCGGUGUAGCGGUGAAAUGCGCAGAGAUGUGGAGGAACACCAAUGGCGAAGGCAGCCUUCUGGGCCAACACUGACGCUCAUGCACGAAAGCGUGGGGAGCAAACAGG
rnacentral:rRNA from 1 species